rnacentral:ribozyme from 13 species
UUCUUCUUCUUCUUCUUCUUCUUCUUCUUCUUCUGCCUUCUUUCGAUCCUCCAAACACUCAUUUUUUUAAAUGAAAUUAAGAAAGAUCGAAAUCAAGUGUUUAUUCAAAAUAAAAUAAAAUUUUAGACCACAAAAACCACUUGAUGAUCUCAUUAUUACGCGUAACGAAUUUGAACAAAAGAAAAG